CCAUCGGUGGUCAGUGUAGGUAGAAUGCUCGCCUGCCACGCGGGCGGUCCGGGUUCGAUUCCCGGCCGAUGCA
rnacentral:tRNA from 1 species